CAGUUAAAAGGGAAAGGAAGGCAAAUUUGACUUUGUGUUUUGUCGCUCUGGGGUAAAACAGGAAGGAUAGGGUCCCCUGAGCCAGGAUCGGUGACAGCUGCGGAUCUUGCCUCUCUCCGCGCUCAGAAAUGCAGUGCUCUGUCGCCACCUGGUGGGAGGAGCAGAUAAUACGAGGGGUGGCCCCUUCGGAUGCGACCACUCACCCUACCACAGAGAGAAUGUUCCCAUUCCAACCCAGAGGAAGAGGCAUCAAUGGCCUGCAUGGUGUUGUGGAACCCACAGUGACUCUCCAUACAGACUGUCCCUGAGCAUCUGAACGUCACCUCCUGGAACUGUUGUUGGUCCCCUAAGACCGCCCUCAAAGCUCCCUCCACCCAGAGACUACUAGGAUAUCAAAGAACUUCUCUGUUCCAAAAGAUCCCACCAAAAGGAGAGAGACAGAACCAAAUCACCUAUUCAGCAAGCAUCCACUAGAUGCCUGCCCUGGGCUGAGCCUGCACCCCACAGUGCUUCACAGCCAGAGGGUCCCUGGAACGCCACAAUUUUAUUUCAGAAAAACACUCAUUGCAAAUACUGGCUAAUAUUUUCUCAGUGCUUAUUAGGUAUCAACUGGGUUUUUUUGUUUGUUUGUUUU